rnacentral:rRNA from 1 species
UACGUAGGGCGCAAGCGUUGUCCGGAAUUAUUGGGCGUAAAGAGCUCGUAGGCGGUCUGUUGCGUCCGCUGUGAAAACCCAGGGCUUAACCCCGGGCGUGCAGUGGAUACGGGCUGGCUAGAGGCAGGCAGGGGAGAACGGAAUUCCUGGUGUAGCGGUGAAAUGCGCAGAUAUCAGGAGGAACACCGAUGGCGAAGGCAGGUCUCUGGGCCACUACUGACGCUGAGAAGCGAAAGCAUGGGGAGCGAACAGG